rnacentral:rRNA from 1 species
CCUACGGGAGGCAGCAGUGGGGAAUAUUGGUCAAUGGGGGAAACCCUUAUCCAGCGACGCCGCGUGAAGGAUGAAGGUCUUCUGGUUGUAAACCUCUGUCUGUGGGGGCGUUAAUUACGGUACGCGCGGCUUAUUCCACGGCCAACGACGUGCCAGCAGCCGCGGUAAUGCGUAGGUGGCAAGCGUUGUCCGGAAUUACUGGGUGUAAAGGGAGCGUAGGCGGGUUGUCAAGUCAGAAGUGAAAAGUAUGGGCUCAACACAGAACCUGCUUUUGAAACUGGGAGUCUUGAGUGCAGUAGAGGCAAGCGGAAUUCGUAGUGUAGCGGUGAAAUGCGUAGAUAUUAGGAGGAACACCGGUGGCGAAGGCGGCCUGCUGGGCUGUUACUGACGCUGAGGCUCGAAAGCGUGGGGAGCAAACAGGAUUAGAUACCCUGGUAGUC